rnacentral:rRNA from 1 species
UCUUCGGCAAUGGACGAAAGUCUGACCGAGCGACGCCGCGUGCGGGAUGAAGGCCUUCGGGUUGUAAACCGCUGUCAGUUGGGAGGAAAUCUAUGGGGGUACUCCCCCAUAGUUGACCGAUCUUCAGAGGAAGGACGGGCUAAGUUCGUGCCAGCAGCCGCGGUAAGACGAACCGUCCAAACGUUAUUCGGUAUCACUGGGCUUAAAGCGUGCGUAGGCGGUCUGGUAGGUGGGGUGUGAAAGCCCUCGGCUCAACCGAGGAAUAGCGCUCCAAACCCCCAGACUUGAGGAAGACAGGGGUGAGUGGAACUGUUGGUGGAGCGGUGAAAUGCGUUGAUAUCAACAGGAACACCGGUGGCGAAAGCGACUCACUGGGUCUUUUCUGACGCUGAGGCACGAAAGCUAGGGGAGCGAACGGG